rnacentral:lncRNA from 1 species
CAAAAACUAAUGGUAGGAUGUUCCGUGUAACAGUAGUGGUUGCACAAUAUAUAGUAUACAGUAAGUUAUAAAACAAAAGUUGAUUAGUUUAUUUUCAUGUCUUUAAAGCACUUCCUAUUCCUAUGUCAAGCUCAAAUACACCGCGAAAAUAUAAGACAUGGUUUACAUAUUUCUGUACAAGUUAAAUAGAAGAGUUACAGAUGUAGUUUUAACACAAGAUUAUUUGUUUAAAUUUUCUGAUAGUCAUUUUUCCUUUUUAUCGCAGAAUGUGACUACACCAAGAAAAUUUUACAUGUGUAUUAUCAAUAAAUUCCUCUGUCUCUCUUCCUAAAUAUAGUUUUGAUUGUCAUCAAAUGCUCAGUUUCAAAUGGACGACUAUGACCUUUUGUCUGUGUAUUGGUGUAAAAGUUAGAGUUUCAUUACGAAAUGCUAUUCUAAAUUAUUAUAAGACUGUUUGUUGUCUGAUAACGACCAUUAAACGUUGCUAAUCAUAUUGCAUUGAUUAGAAGGGUUUUCACAUUUUUAAAUAAUAUAAUUAUAAAAAAAAUGGUAUUCCCGUGAUAAAUAUAUAGUUGAUCUCGCAUCUUAAUUAAUGGUCUUUACAAUAAAUGUAUUUGUUUUCGGUUUCGCCAGAUAUAAACACGUUCAUAUCAAGUAUCAAUAAUAUUUUGAUGCAUUUGCCCCCGUUUUGUCUUUAUGAAUUUUGUCAUCGCAACUCUGAGAAAAAGGUUAGGUUUCAAUCACAGUGAAAUUAAAUAUUCAUGCAAUCUGAAAAUUCACUAGAACUGACAUAUCAUAAGAAUAGCAAUAUUGCCUCUUGCAUGUCUGAUCUCUAAUAGAUAUGUGUGAUGUCAAAAUCUGUAUAAGUCCAUUGAUUAGGUGACGUAACAGUUUUGUUGUUCGAUCAAUGAACUAUUUGUUUUAUUCUUCUAAAGGAAGAUAUAUAACUAUUUGAUUAUUUAACUGAUUUCGAAACCGAAAUUGUUCCCGAUAGCAACAUGCAAUGCAAAUUUUCAAUCUUCUUCUUGCAAUAAGUCUCGUUUUUAAUGUGGUCCUCGUAAAACAAAGAAGAGUGCCUACUUUGAACUGUCUUCCUAUUGUCAGUCCUGUGUUGUAUGGUCGUCAAUCGAGUAACGUGGAACACAUACAUUGAAUAUUCUUAAUGUUGUAUUUAGAGUGGUACAUCAAAGAGCCUGACACGCAUACUAUGAAUAUUCUAACUGUUAUAAGACUCGUAUGUGAAAAAUGUUGAACACAUACUUCGAAUUUACGUCGUGAAAUAUGAUUGUGUCGUAUUAAAGAUGGACCACAAAACCAAGACAUUUUUCGAAGAAAGUGCGGCGGGUGAAACCUUGUUUUAUAGCUAACUGUAUGUUGUACUUUCUUUAUAUUGACAAAUAGGGUGAACAACCCAAAACAGACAUAAUAGAUUAAUAAUGAUACAAUAAUUGGGAUCCAGCAACCGAAACUGUAUAAAUGCAUACUUGGAAAGUUAAUAAUUCAUCAUUUUAAUUUUACAUUUUAAUGUUGUGUCGUUGUUCUCUUAUAUUUAAUGCGUUUCCCUCAGUUUUGGUUUGUUACCCCGAUUUUGCUUUUUGUCCAUGGAUUUAUGAGUUUUGAACAGCGGUAUACUACUGUUGCCUUUAUUUAAAGGUCUCAUAUUUAAGGUAGUCUAUCGAGCAAUCUGGAAUUCUCACUUUGGAUCUUAUUAGUCUCUUAUAUAGGUGGUCCAUCACUAACGUGGAGUGCAUACUCUAAAUGUUUUUAUUGUUAAAAGUCUCGUUUAAAAGGUGGUCCACCAAGCAACAAGGAAUUCACAUUUUUAAAUAUUCGUUAUGUUAAAAACCAUGUAUUCAAGGUUCUCCAGCGAGCAGCGUAGAAUGCAUACUUUGGAUAUUUUUCUUGUUUUAAAUCUCGAAUGUUAAGGGGUUCCUUAUUGGUAUUUCAGAUGUUUGUCGUUAUUUCAAAAAGAAAACUCUCAUUUCAUACCUAUAUAAAACUGCUUUCCUCUCUGUGGAGUUCUUUUUUCGAAAUCUAGUUUAUGUUGCGUGCUGCAUGAUACUGUAAAUAUGGACGUGUCGGCACGAAUUUAUAAGUUCCUUUGUUAUAACUGAUUCUGUUAUAAUAAGCAAUAUUGCAAAAUAUCAAAAUUAAUGUGUUAUGGGAUUGAACUGGGAAAAGAUUAUAAAAUUUGUCUUAAAACUUCAAUUAAUUUUCGACUUAUGAAUUUGAAUGUCCCUUUGGUAUCUGUUGCCUCCAUUUAACAUUUCUAUAACAUUUUACAACAAUAAAUAAUACAUAUUCGUUUCAUGAUUUAGUUAAUCAUAAUGUUAUAUAUGUAUCACAUACUGUACUCUUAUAUAAACUCACCAUAGAUACCAGGAUUAAAAUUUUAUAUUUACGCCAGACGCGCGUUUCGUCUACAAAAGACUCAUCAGUGACGCUCGAAUCAAAAAUGAUUAAAGGGCCAAAUAAAGUACUAAGUUGAAGGGCAAAAUUCCUAAACGUUUUCCAAAUACAGCUAAGGUAAUCUAUUCCUGAGGUACAACGCAUGGCACGGGUGAUGGGUGCACAACAUGACAAGCAUUGGAAGCUUUUCCUGUCAAAAUAAUCGUUAUCCAUUUGGAAUUCAUAAUUUUGUAUUGGUUCUUUUCGCUUAGUCUAUAUAAACAAAAUGUAUUUACGAGGUUUGGACAUCGGUAAACAAUUAUUGCCUCUUUUAAGUUAUAUAUGGAUAUAGGAAUUACAAAACAGAGUGUCACAACUGGAGAAUCCACGAAUUAUCCUCUUGAAACAGCUGAUCUAACCCUGCUAUUAAGAUUAGCUUCAUGUUGCUCAAUCUUCGUUUUCUAUGUUGUAUCGUAUGGGCUGUUGUAGGUGUUUGUGUCUUUGAUAAAACAGUUGAUUGUUUUCUGCUUUUCCUCAAAAUUAUGUGUUUUUUUCAGUUUUAACAAUGUCUAUAUACCAAUUUUGAUUUUCUUUCUUUUCUGUAAUAUUUUUGUAGCGAUUAAGAUUAUAUUACAAUGUUGACUGCGGUUCCUCAAUUUCUGCCAUUUUUAACUAUUGUUACUGUUUGUCUUGCUCAUACGAUGUUGUCGAUACAAGUGAUUUAUAAACUACUGGCAUACAGUGUGAGGUUUUGCUAGCUAUAAAACCAGGUAUAUUACAUUUCUUACAUGAGAAAUACAUGUAACAAGUCAAGAAUAUGACAACUGUUUUCCAUUUGUUUGGUGUGUUUGAAUUUUUGAUUUUGUCAUUUGAUAAAGGACUUCCUGUUUUAAAUUUCCCUUGGAGUUGAGCAGUUUUACUUUAGGAUAAAACAUAUCAUUUCUAGUGAGUUUUAUGCUGAAAGCAACUAUAUCAAAAUUAAGCUCAUUUCAACUUAGUUGAAGUGAUGUUAGAAAUCACGUUUCUGUGAGGUGUAUGUGUCAAAUGAAAAGGUUCUGUUUGCUUAAUCAUAGGUUAUUCCGUUUUAGCAAGUCGGGAAGUAUAUAAAAAUUAAAACUUUAAGAGAAAAACCACGGUAACGAUAUAAGAAAAUAGGAAUGCUGAAAUCUUCCGACUUAUAACGCAUAUAUACCCUUUUACAUAUUUAUUUGGUUUGUGUUAUUUAUCUAAUUUUGUGUUUUGCAAUUUGUGGAAUUUUAGUCGUAACUGUGUGUUUCUUGGGUCAUAAAAUAUUCUGUUUUGUCUAUUUAAUAAGUCUUACUAUCGCUUUUCAUCUAUAAGUUACAUCAGUUAUUUCCUUAUAUUAUGUAAGACAAAAAUCCCCUAUUUACGGAAAUAGCUUUACACUGGUCGACCCUCUACGGACCACAGGGUUCGUUGCUUUUUGUUCAAAGGAGUUAAAUAGGACUGAUUAUACUUGCGAUAAUCAAGGCAAAGCGUAAAUGAUCAAGUACUCUAAUAGCUUGUACGAUAUAUGAUAUGGUAGAACAGGUGUAUAUUGAAUAUGUUUGUAAAUCAUUUUAUUGAAUAUUACGUUUUGUGAUAAGAACUUUUACGUUUAGAGGACUUUGAUCUAUCUUUUUUGGUUUUUACCCGAUACAAGCUAGGAUAGACAGGUAGAAAUCAAAUUAUGUGGUGACUUUAACACUGAAACGUCAAAGUAUAAUUGUCAGAAUUAUCAAAAUAACCAUAUCAUAUUGUGUGCUUGUCGUCAUCAACAAUAUCAUUAUCACUUAGCAUACUUUGUUUCUUUGUAUCUAUUUCAAAAGAAAAUAAUAAGUUAACAGAUGUUUGUUUUCCGUAUUUUACUUUGACACAAAAAUUGCAACAAAAUUGUAUACAUAGGGAUAAUUUGAAAUAAUUUUAAAAGAUACUUUUUAAAAGGCCAUAAAAAGAAAAAGAGAGAAAUGUAGAAAAAUUUAAAAGACAAGACAACUUAUUACCGACUAAAUCUAACGCAUUCCUGAUAACACAUUUUCUUAAAAUUACAAUUCUGCUAAUUGCCCUAAUUUGUCAUUAAUUGUAUUUACAGAAGAGGAAAACAUUGUAUUUGAUGUCAACAGGAAAUUGCAGACAACAAGGCUAGUGAAACCAAAACGUCCAUUAGCAGUGGCAUCGACUUAAUGGUUGUAAAAAUUCAUCAAAGAUACCUGUCUUUAAAUUUUGUACAUCAGACACGUGUUUCGUCUACAUAAGGUUAAACGGCCAAAUGAAAUACAAAGUUAAAAAAAUUAAAACCAAACAUUUCGAAAUGUUUAUGUCAAAAUUGCAACUAAGUCAAUCUGUGACUGGAUUAGAACAACCUAAGUAUUUCGAACAAUUCAAUAUUUUAAAGACAAUAAAUUUACAGAAAAGAAACAUAUGUUAAGAUAGUUUAUGUCAACACAAAAGUGUCGACUAUGAAAGCCAGAUACAAAAAAAUAAUGUUAUUCAUUUGGUCUUAAGAACCAGUCUGGGCUGUACUCAUUAUUUUAUGUCCGUCG